rnacentral:rRNA from 1 species
GAGUGGCGAACGGGUGAGUAACACGUGGGUAACCUGCCCAUCAGAAGGGGAUAACACUUGGAAACAGGUGCUAAUACCGUAUAACAAUCGAAACCGCAAGGUUUUGAUUUGAAAGGCGCUUUCGGGUGUCGCUGAUGGAUGGACCCGCGGUGCAUUAGCUAGUUGGUGAGGUAACGGCUCACCAAGGCCACGAUGCAUAGCCGACCUGAGAGGGUGAUCGGCCACAUUGGGACUGAGACACGGCCCAAACUCCUACGGGAGGCAGCAGUAGGGAAUCUUCGGCAAUGGACGAAAGUCUGACCGAGCAACGCCGCGUGAGUGAAGAAGGUUUUCGGAUCGUAAAACUCUGUUGUUAGAGAAGAACAAGGAUGAGAGUAACUGUUCAUCCCUUGACGGUAUCUAACCAGAAAGCCACGGCUAACUACGUGCCAGCAGCCGCGGUAAUACGUAGGUGGCAAGCGUUGUCCGGAUUUAUUGGGCGUAAAGCGAGCGCAGGCGGUUUCUUAAGUCUGAUGUGAAAGCCCCCGGCUCAACCGGGGAGGGUCAUUGGAAACUGGGAGACUUGAGUGCAGAAGAGGAGAGUGGAAUUCCAUGUGUAGCGGUGAAAUGCGUAGAUAUAUGGAGGAACACCAGUGGCGAAGGCGGCUCUCUGGUCUGUAACUGACGCUGAGGCUCGAAAGCGUGGGGAGCAAACAGGAUUAGAUACCCUGGUAGUCCACGCCGUAAACGAUGAGUGCUAAGUGUUGGAGGGUUUCCGCCCUUCAGUGCUGCAGCUAACGCAUUAAGCACUCCGCCUGGGGAGUACGACCGCAAGGUUGAAACUCAAAGGAAUUGACGGGGGCCCGCACAAGCGGUGGAGCAUGUGGUUUAAUUCGAAGCAACGCGAAGAACCUUACCAGGUCUUGACAUCCUUUGACCACUCUAGAGAUAGAGCUUCCCCUUCGGGGGCAAAGUGACAGGUGGUGCAUGGUUGUCGUCAGCUCGUGUCGUGAGAUGUUGGGUUAAGUCCCGCAACGAGCGCAACCCUUAUUGUUAGUUGCCAUCAUUCAGUUGGGCACUCUAGCAAGACUGCCGGUGACAAACCGGGAGAAAGGUGGGAAUGACGUCAAAUCAUCAUGCCCCUUAUGACCUGGGCUACCCACUUGCUACCAUGGGAAGUUCAACCAAGUUUCUAAAUC